rnacentral:rRNA from 1 species
GACGAACGCUGGCGGCGUGCCUAAUACAUGCAAGUCGAACGCACUCUCGUUUAGAUUGAAGGAGCUUGCUCCUGAUUGAUAAACAUUUGAGUGAGUGGCGGACGGGUGAGUAACACGUGGGUAACCUGCCCUAAAGUGGGGGAUAACAUUUGGAAACAGAUGCUAAUACCGCAUAAAACCUAAACACCGCAUGGUGUAGGGUUGAAAGAUGGUUUCGGCUAUCACUUUAGGAUGGACCCGCGGUGCAUUAGUUAGUUGGUGAGGUAAAGGCUCCCAAGACCGUGAUGCAUAGCCGACCUGAGAGGGUAAUCGGCCACACUGGGACUGAGACACGGCCCAGACUCCUACGGGAGGCAGCAGUAGGGAAUCUUCCACAAUGGACGAAAGUCUGAUGGAGCAACGCCGCGUGAGUGAAGAAGGUUUUCGGAUCGUAAACUACUGUUGUGGUAGAAGAAUGUAUCUGAUAGUAACUGAUCAGUAGUGACGGUAUCC